rnacentral:rRNA from 1 species
UACGUAGGGGGCAAGCGUUGUCCGGAUUUAUUGGGCGUAAAGAGCUCGUAGGCGGUUUGUCGCGUCGGGAGUGAAAACACCGGGCUUAACUCGGUGCUUGCUUUCGAUACGGGCAGACUAGAGGCAUGCAGGGGAGAACGGAAUUCCUGGUGUAGCGGUGAAAUGCGCAGAUAUCAGGAGGAACACCGGUGGCGAAGGCGGUUCUCUGGGCAUGUCCUGACGCUGAGGCGCGAAAGCCAGGGGAGCAAACGGG